AUUGAACGCUGGCGGCAGGCCUAACACAUGCAAGUCGAGCGAGCGGCGGACGGGUGAGUAAUGUCUGGGAAACUGCCUGAUGGAGGGGGAUAACUACUGGAAACGGUAGCUAAUACCGCAUACCAUCAGAUGUGCCCAGAUGGGAUUAGCUAGUAGGUGGGGUAAUGGCUCACCUAGGCGACGAUCCCUAGCUGGUCUGAGAGGAUGACCAGCAACACUGGAACUAAGAAACGGUCCAGCGUCCUACGGGAGGCAGCAGGGGGGAAUAUUGCACAAUGGGCGCAAGCCUGAUGCAGCCAUGCGGGGGGUGUGAAGAAGGCUUUCGGGUUGUAAAGCACUUUCAGCGAGGGGGCGUUACUCGCAGAAGAAGCACCGGCAAACUCCGUGCCAGCAGCCGCGGUAAUUC
rnacentral:rRNA from 1 species